GUGUGGAGGUCUGGCUGCCACACCACAAGAUGGCUGCCAGUGGCACUACAUCUCCCAGAAUGCAGCAGCACCCAACCAGGUGUAGGUGCUUAAGGCACCUGAUGGAAGGGGCAUUUAAGACAGGUGGUGCCUGUUGUGAAAGAGCGAGCCACGAGAGCAGAAAGAGCCAGGAGGGAGAACAGAGAGCACUUGACGUGCGGGUGAAGCCGUUGUGGAAACGCUUGCUAAAGCGCAUCCGGAAGGGGGAAGGCUAGCCCCAAGCCGGGAAAGACCUGGACGGAGAAACUUUAAACUGCAACUACAGUGGGCAGGAUGUAAGUGAGGAGCAACUUUAUGAAGCCUAUGUUUUGCCUUUGAAGAACUUUUAUGUUUGCUUCCUGAAAGACUUUGUGUUUGGUGAAUAAACCUGAUCCUCGUUUGAAAGCACUUUUGCCGGCUCUGUCCUGUUAAUUACGCACUGCCCUACACCCAGCUCAGUGGUAAAGCCUCUCAUGAUACCACAUAUGGUGGAGAAUGCGGGCAUAGGGCGUAAGUGCGAAUGAGCAGAAGUGAAGGAAUCGACGACUUGGUGGAACUUUUUUCAGGACAUGCAAAGGAGCACCAAACACAAAAUGGAGGAACUGGUGAUGAUGCUGUGGGAGAGCCAGAGGGCCCAGCAGGAGACCAGUGCAGCCUUGCUGCAGAUGCAGCAGAAGGACAAUCCAACUAGGGAUGACCUAGAGGAGGCCGAGAAGAAGCACACCCGGUCUGGUGAGAUGUUCGAGAGGGCCCAGGAAAAGCUAAGCCAGAUGCGCAGUGCAACAGUGGUGGUCCUAGCUGCCGGUGGUGAAGAGUGGGACGAUGAUGAUGGCGAUGAUGAUGAUGUCUAUGGUGAAGAUGUCAGUGAUGAAGAGGUCGGUGAUGUCGAUGAUGAUGAAGAUGAUGCCGAUGAUGAAGCUGACGAUGGUGAUGAUGAAGAUGAUGACGAAGGUGAUGAUGAAGGUGACGAUGAUGAAGAUGAUGUCGAUGAGGAAGAUGAAGGUGAUACUGAUGGUGAGGAAGAUGAUGAAUAUGAUGUUGAUGAUGAAAUUGCUGAGGAAGAGGUGGAGGAUGAAGAUCCUGCGGAAAACGAAGAUCCUGCUGAUGACGAAGAUCCUGUGGAUGAUAACAAAGCAGGUGAAGAUGACUCUGAGUCAGAGGUCCCACCAGGUAAAAAAGGCAGCUCCAGCCAAGUCUGCUGCCAAGGCAGCCCCC
ensembl:lncRNA